GACAGAGGAGCCAAGCGUUGUCCGGAUUGACUGGGCGUAAAGCGCACGCAGGCGGCUCAGCGCGUGGGGUGUGAAAGGUGGCGGCUCAACUGCCACACGCCAUCCCAUACGGCUGGGCUCGAGCCAUGCAGAGGUCGACGGAAUUGCCGGUGUAGUGGUGAAAUGCGUAGAGAUCGGCAGGAACACCUAGGGGGAAACCAGUGGACUGGGCAUCGGGCUGACGCUCAGGUGCGAAAGCGAUGGGGAGCGACGGGAUUGAAGAA
rnacentral:rRNA from 1 species